CAUUUUUGCAAAAAUCCCAACUUGAAAGAAGUGGUGGUAAACAGAACAUUGCCAAUGAGAGAAUUGCAACGAUGAAGCUUGACAUUUUUAAAUAUCAGUCUUUGCUGAAUGGUACUAAAGCUUCAAGUGAAAGUUGGAGAGUUCAUCUUUGAGUCUCACAGGACUCUGCACUUUUCCUUAAAUGAUAAACUGAUAAUGUGGGGUGAACACAAUAACAAGAUCACUGAGAGAAGAAGACACAGGAACACAGGUAGUUCCAUAUUUGCCAUUUACUUCCUGCAAGGGAUGUUGUCUUUGAG
rnacentral:lncRNA from 1 species